rnacentral:rRNA from 1 species
GACAGAGGUGCCAAGCGUUAGGCGGAAUCACUGGGCUUAAAGCGUGUGUAGGCGGACUUGUAAGUACCUUGUGAAAUCCCACGGCUCAACCGUGGAACUGCUGGGUAUACUGCGAGUCUUGAGCCAUCUAGGGGCUACCGGAACAAAUGGUGGAGCGGUGAAAUGCGUAGAUAUCAUUUGGAACGCCAAAGGUGAAAACAGGUGAGCUGGGGAUGUUCUGACGCUGAGACACGAAAGCCAGGGGAGCGAACGGG